UCAUGGGACUGGUUGCUAAUGUUUUGUCUUCCUGCACCACAAUCCACACUUCUGUGCAAGGGAUCUCCUGGGACAUGAUGGCCUUCAUCUCUUCACAAAAGGUAAGAGUCUCUUUUCUUACAGGU